rnacentral:tRNA from 1 species
AAAAGUGAAGUAUAAGAUUUUACAUUUCAGUUACAUUGAACAAAUCCCUAGUAAGGGCGCUUUUA